rnacentral:ncRNA from 1 species
UCCAUCGUGAGGUGGAAUCUGAAGGAAGCCGGCGGCAAAUCUCCGGUCUGAGGAAAGACUAAUGUACGUUGGAUGGGGCUGAAAGACAAGUCAAAGUCCAUACUGCCGAAGGCGUGCGAGAGUAAAUGGUGCAGAUGGAUGGAUUUAAUAUAUUCAGU